CAAAAAAAGAGGAAAAAUUUUCACCCCAGCAGCAGCUCUGCUCGCGAUACGCCAGAGACGUUUUGCAGUUAUAGUCGUCGAACGGGGAAAAAAAAGCCUGAACGGUAGAAAUUUUCCGCUGGCAGAAGUUGGAGAUUAGUGAAAAAGUGUGUGACCGAAGUGCGGGAACAGAUUGUCGGAACCGUGCCGGAAGUUUUUGUGUGUCGUUUCGUCAGUGCUUGAGAUCGAAUGGUUUAGAUUUUGGUGUCGCAGUUCUCGUUUUUCACAAUAUUCUUCCGUUCGACUGGGUUGAACCCGUGGCCGUCAAGAAGAAGUAGCAGCAGUACUACCUCUUGUUUCGGGGAUUUUUUUCUCUUCCGAUAGAGAAAUAUUUGAAUAUUUUGCACCCACGAAGGAAGGCACAUAAUCGACAUGGAUAAGCGGAAAUUAUCCACAUCGGGGGAUACGCUGUACCAGACGCUGGGCAUCCAGAAGACGGCAACCGGGGAUGAAAUCAAAAAGACAUACCGAAAGCUAGCCCUUAAGUAUCAUCCAGACAAAAACCCAGACAAUCCAGACGCAGCCGAAAAGUUCAAAGAAGUGAACCGAGCGCAUGCCAUUCUCAGUGAUAUCAGCAAACGGAAUAUCUACGACAACUACGGCUCCCUGGGACUCUACAUCGCCGAACAGUUCGGCGAGGAAAAUGUCAACGCGUACUUCAUGGUCACAUCGCCGACAUGCAAGGCAAUCUUCCUGGUGUGCGCCAUCGUGACCGGGUGCUACUGUUGCUGUUGUUGCUGCUGCUGUUGCAACUUCUGCUGUGGUAAAUUCAAACCACCUUCGCCCGAGAACACCAGCGAUUACCAUCAUUUACACAGGGACGCCGCCGGUGCCAGUAGUAGCCACAACGCAGGUGAAGGAGCAGUAGUAACCGAACAGCCCACGCGAAAAGAGGAUCUGGCCGAUCUGGAAGACAACGGCGGAGGCGGCCCGGGUGGUCCGGUAACGUCACAGCCGACGGCCGGCCAGGCUCAGGGUGCCGGCAUGCCGGUGUUCGCGAUGCCACCGCCCCCGUCCAACAAUCCGACCAAUCCGUUCACCGGCCAGCCAACCGAGAGCACAGGCCUGAACACCGGCAAUCAGCCGGUCUACACGCCAGGCCGCUAAAUCGUCCCGGAUAAUGUCUCAGCAUCUCAGACGAAUCAGAUCAGAUAGAAAGAAAAUGAUGGUAAAUGUGUCACUCCCAGAAGAUUUUUCAUUAAUUUGCAAACACACUGCACCUGAGCAAUUUAGAUGUCCAUAUUUUGAAUCAGUCUAAGACUCGCAACGUCAUAAGCUGGGUCAUAAUCAGUUUAAUGGAAGUAUAAAGCACACAACACCAGCGCUAUUGGAUUGUGACAACACAAAGCGGAACAACGCCCAAAUAAAAUCCAUCUUUACGAGAAUACCAGAAGCAAAAAUGGAGAUACAAACCAAGAAAAAAAAACAAACAAGCGAAGAAUCAAACAUAAUACUGUGUUUAUGUUGUAAACAUCAAAAUCACAAAUCUAAUUAUAAUGAAUGCCAUUUUUUUCCAAAAUCAGCUAGACAAAAGUAAUUCGUGCCCAUCCCGCAUUUGGCAAACAAAAAAAAACGAUAGGGGCUAUCGUAACUCUACAGUUAGGUCGAUACACAAAUGGAUAAUAAAACUACCAAUAAAAACAAACAAACAAGAAAACGAUCACAGUACUAGAGCAACCAAUUAUUGCUAAAGAUAAUUAAACUUACACUAACCCUCAUUCUCACUUAAAGUAAACACAAAUCAGAAGAAGAACAACAACAACACACACACAUUCACACAAGUGAACAAAAUAAUACAAUAUAUUCUAUAAGGGAAACCAGAGAGAAAAAAAAACGAAGUAUAUAAUAGAACUAGGAAGUAAAAAUUUCCCUCAUUAUAUAUAAUACGUGUUACUAUUUCGAUUUUGCAAAACAAAAACAAACAAAAAAAAAUUAUAAGGCAGCAACCAAAAUAAAACAAAUAUAUAUAUUUAAAUUUGAAACGCGAGAAUAAAAUCUGUUAUUUUUGUGUAGUAAUCUCUCUCCUAAUUGUGCAGAAUUGAAUUCUCUUUAAUGCAAAGAAAAGACAUUGAAAAGUCGUUGGGGCGCCACACAAACUUUCGAAUCACCAACCAGUGUCACUCACUCACUACUCACAAAAGUGAGUACUUUUGUGAGUAGUGAGUGAGUGAACGUGAACCAGCAGCAGCACAUCUCAAGUUGUAACUACUGUACACAAGUAAUUUGCGCCAUUUUGAUCAGAAGGAUGAUGAGGCAUCUUUAAAGAAACCAACCUCCAACCAUGAUGUCAUCAAUUACACAGGCGUCACGUGCGGCGGAACAAAUUAAAGAAAAAAAAAACAAGAGAGGCAAACAAAAAAAACCUACGAUAAUAAACGAAUGUUUUCUUUGAGGCAGUUAUACUCAGAAGUGAAAA